UACGUAGGGACCGAGCGUUGUCCGGAAUCAUUGGGCGUAAAGAGCGUGUAGGCGGCUUGUUAAGUCUUGCGUGAAAUCUCGGGGCUCAACCCCGAGCGGUCGUGAGAAACUGGCAGGCUAGAGUGCGGGAGAGGAGAGUGGAAUUCCUGGUGUAGCGGUGAAAUGCGCAGAUAUCAGGAAGAACACCCGUGGCGAAGGCGGUUCUCUGGGACGGUACUGACGCUGAGACGCGAAAGCGUGGGGAGCGAACAGG
rnacentral:rRNA from 1 species